ensembl:lncRNA
AACUUGAAGCUGGAUGUAGGUUUGUGAAAUAACCAUGCCCAUCGCAGACAUGACUUCUCGGCCUUACACCUUUCAAGAAAGUCCUCCUGGUCACAGAGACUGGUGAAACCUUAGGAAGGAAAACCUCCAGAACAUGGCCAAACAGCCCGAAAAACCUACAGCAACCAGAAAUUAAUUUCAUUUUAUACAUCUGAUCUCUUGAUAAUACAAAUAAAUUUAACAUUUUGCAUUUUAGCUUUACAAUAGCCAGCUUUCGUAUUGUGACCUGAAAGCAUUUCGCGUACAUCUUACAGAGCAAUCCGAGCACAAGGUCACAGAUAAAACUCCUGCUGCACGAAUCCUCUGGUAGCUCAGCAAUGGCUCCUUCCAGAAAAAAGCACAUGCGCUGGUCACCCAAAUCCAUCCAAGCGCUCAUCAAAGAAAUAGAAAGCCUUCCUGAGGGUAUCCGCCUCAUGGGAAGCUCAUCAGCCCCAAACUUGGCCAUCUGGAAAAAAGUGGAGAAAAAGAUGGCCAGAAGGAAUUACCCCUGGAAGGUGUCCCAGCUCAGGAACUGCUGGAAGAUGAUCAAGUCAAAAUUCUACACGGAGCAAGCCUUUCACAAGAUCUACAAGGCUCACAGUCGUGAUCCUCCUCCAUACUAUCAGUCAAUGCUUCGGCUGUGGAAGCGGGCAGGGAAGCCCAUCUUCAGGGACAGACGCCGCACAGGAAACAGUCGCCAAGGGAAAGCAACCACCACCUUUGCAAGAACAGGACAAAAUGGGCCCGGGGCCGUGCAAACAGCAUCCAUUGAAGCAGGAAGGCGAGCCGCUUCAUUGGAGGAUGUGAUGGGCCAGCUGGAGGUUCUAACCGAAGUUAUCCAGUCUGCUGUAUUACACUUUAACCAAGAAAUUAAAGUGAUUAAAGAGCGGCUGAGAUGCCCAGAGGAGAGUUCCCGGAACCAGCAAUGAGACUCUGCACCAUUCUUUUGUAUCACUUAAGCAAAUUAUUAUAUUCUGUGCAAUGCUGACAUUUUUAUUUAGUUUGCUUAACUUGCAUGCCCAGGACAUUCGUCCUGACUUCCUUUGUUGAUGGAAUUUUGUUCACUUGAUAAAGUAAUUUCAUGUUGUGUCUGAUACAGGGGGGAAAUGUAAAACAGAAGGGUUGGGGUUUAAGGCCUUCUUCUCCCCUUUUAUAGAAUCAAGGACAUCAAGCCCAGCCCCCUGUUGAAUCGCUUUUCCCCUCCACUUUUGUUGCAAAAAGUGUAGGGGGAAAGCAGCUUUUUGCAACGAAAGUGUAUGGGCAAAGCAGGAAUCACUUUCCCCCUACACUUUUUCCAAUGAAAGUAUAGGGGGAAAGUGAUUCCUGCUUUGCCCCUACACUUUCAUUGCAAAAAGUGUAGGGGGAAAGCAGCUUUUUGCAACGAAAGUGUAUGGGGAAAGCAAUUCUUGCAACAAAAAAUGGUUAGCAACUUUUUGCCAUAUGCUUAUACUUAGCUCCACUGUUAGAAUCUCUAUACUGUCUUCUUCCACAAGAGCCUCAAUAUUUCACUUCCAUACUGUCUAUGAGGUCUCUCAGCUGCAAGUUUCAAAGUGGGCAAUUUAGAGCAUUACUGGUGAGUUCCUGAAUAUCAGAGUCAUGCAUCUGGCAGGGCUGAUACAGUAACAUUUAAGCUGUUGACGGACCCUGUAUAUGUUAAUAAAGAUUAUAAUUAAUUUUGACCCUAACA